ensembl:lncRNA
CCCCAUAACCGCCCCAUAGAGCCCCACAGUACCCCAUAACCACUCCAUAAAGCCCCAUAACCGCCCCACAGAGCCGCCCCACGGCCGUACCGGUGCCCGCAUGGUGCAGCAGCCUAUAGGCGGAGGUAUCCACCACCAUUUCCUCGUCGGGACCGGGCGGGGGGCCGCGACCGGGGAUGUAAACGCGCCCCUCCCCCUCUCCGCUCCGCCCCGCCCCCCUUCGUGCUGGCUCCGCCCCCUGGCCCCGCCCCCUCCGCCGUUCCCGGGAGCUCCGGAGCCGCGUGGCUCCAGUGCCUCCGCUGCGCGCCGCCAUUUUUUGCCACUUUCCGGCGCUGUGCGACACACUUCCGGUCACGUGCAGCACGCUUCCGUUCUUUUUCAGGCACACUUCCGGUCCUUCACUGGACACGCUUCCGGUUCUCCUCCAGACGCUCUUUUGGUUCUCCUUUAGGGGCACUUCCGGUUCCGCGCUACGCACUUCCGCCCUCCUGCCCCUCCACUUCCGGCCCCGCCGCCAUUUUGUCGCCGCCGUUGCCAUAGCGACGGCUAUGGCGGCCUGCCGCCACCCACCCUCCCUCUGCCCUCAUUAACACCUUAAUUAGCGCGUAAUUAACGCCACGGUGAGCUACAAAAGCUUUAAUUGAGGACGAGACUGCGUCGCACGGGGACACGAGGGGAGGAAAUGGGACAAAAAGGGACAAAAACGGGCAAAAACGGGGAGGGGGGGGGGAAGGGCCGGUUGNNNNNNNNNNNNNNNNNNNNNNNNNNNNGGACAUUUGGGGACAUUUGGGGACACGAAGGACGUUUUGGGGUCACAGUGGCGGUGGCUGCGGUCGCUCACAGUUUUUUAUUUUAUUUCCGGCCCCCAAAAAUGGCCCAAAUUUGGGUCAAAAUGGGGACGGGGUCACAGUGACAAAGUGGGGAGGGGGAGGGGAAGGGAGGGGGGUGGGGCACUGAGGGGACAAUGGGGACAAUGGGGACAGAGGGACAAUGGGGACAUUAUGGCGACAAUGGGGGCAUUGGGGACAUUAUGGGGACAAUGGGGACAGAGGGGCAAUGGGGGAGGGGCACCGUCACCCUAUGGGGACAUCUGAGUGUCAUUGUCCCCGAUGGGGACAUUUCUGUGUCACUGUCACUGUUUGGGGACAUCUCUGUGUCAUCAUUGUCCCCAGUGGGCCACAGGGGCACCUUAAUGUCAUUGUCACCAUUUGGGGACAUUUCUCUGCCACCAUCAUUGUCCCCAAAGGACCACAGGGACAUCUCUGUGUCACUGUCACCAUUUGGGGACAUCCCUGUGUCAUUGCCACCAUUGGGGACACCUCUGUGUCCCCAUCAUUGUCCCCAAAGGACCUUGGGGACAUCCCUGUGUCAUUGUCACCAUUUGGGGCCACCUGUGUGUCACCAUCAUUGUCUCCAAUGGGCCACAGGGACAUCUCUGUGUCACUGUCACCAUUUGGGGACAUCUCUGUGUCGCUGUCAUUGUCACCGUGUCACCAUCAUUGUCCCCAGUGGGGGCAUCUCAGUGUCAUUGUCACCAUUUGGGGACAUCUCUGUGUCAUUGUCAUUGUCCCCAGUGGGGACAUUUCUGUGUCACUGUCACUCUAUAGGGACAGCUGGGUGUCACCAUCAUUGUCCCCAAAGGACCUCAGGGACAUCUCUGUGUCACUGUCACCAUUUGGGGACAUCUCUGUGUCGCUGUCAUUGUCACUGUGUCACCAUCAAUGUCCCCAGUGGGGGCAUCUCAGUGUCAUUGUCACCACUGGGGACAUCCCUGUGUCACCAUCAUUGUCACUGUGUCACCAUCAUUGUCCCCAGUAGGGACAUUUCCGUGUCAUUGUCACCUUUUGGGGACAUCUCUGUGUCACUGUCAUUGUCCCCAGUGGGGACAUUUCUGUGUCACUGUCACUCUAUAGGGACACCUGCAUGCCACCAUCAUUGUCCCCAGUGGACCUUGGGGACAUGUCUGUGUCAUUGUCACCAUCGGGGACAUCUCUGUGUCACCGUCAUUGUCACUGUGCCACCAUCAUUGUCCCCAAUGGACCUUGGUGAGGUCCCUGUGUCACUGUCACCAUUUGGGGACACCUCUGUGUCCCCAUCAUUGUCCCCAAAGGACCUUGGGGACAUCCCUGUGUCAUUGUCACCAUUUGGGGCCACACCUGUGUGUCACCGUCAUUGUCCCCAAUGGACCUUGGGGACAUCUCUGUGUCACUGUCACCAUUUGGGGACAUCUCUGUGUCGCUGUCAUUGUCACCGUGUCACCAUCAUUGUCCCCAGUGGGGGCAUCUCAGUGUCAUUGUCACCAUUUGGGGACAUCUCUGUGUCACCGUCAUUGUCCCCAGUG